GAGAAAAGUCUCCAAGGGAGAAGAGUGUGAACUCUGCCUCAGCGUGGCAGGUUGAGAAGUUGUCAGGGAGCACCUUGGAGCCCAGUAGAGGCCCUGACUGGUGCACCUCUGAAAAGACUGCGGGCACAGUGCUGCACCUCCCCAGGGCUCCCUCAGCAGAGGCAGGUGUGCUCUGUCCCCAUCAUGGCCCUGUGUGCUUCUCCACAGACAAAGACCCCUACAGUUUUGGAAGGACAACCAUAGCAAACCUGGAGACCCACAAUGACCUGCUCUGGCUGCAUGCUGUCUUUGCUGUCAUCUACCUCUCCCUCACUGUGGGCUUCA